GCGGGUGUGGCGGAAUUGGCAGACGCGCUAGACUUAGGAUCUAGUGUCUCCGACAUGCAGGUUCGACCCCUGUCACCCGCACCA
rnacentral:tRNA from 1 species